rnacentral:rRNA from 1 species
UACGGAGGGUGCGAGCGUUGUUCGGAAUCACUGGGCGUAAAGCGCGUGUAGGCGGCCUCCUCAGUCUGAUGUGAAAGCCCGGGGCUCACCCCCGGAAGUGCAUUGGAUACUGGGAGGCUGGAGUACCGGAGAGGAGGGUGGAAUUCCUGGUGUAGCGGUGAAAUGCGUAGAUAUCAGGAGGAACACCGGUGGCGAAGGCGGCCCUCUGGACGGAUACUGACGCUGAGACGCGACAGCGUGGGGAGCAAACAGG